UGCAUUUUUAUAGUAAAUCAAGCUGCUUUUACUAAUUCAAAUCAGCCAAACUGAAGCACUUUGCUUUCUCUGAUUGCUCCACAACCACAUUUGCUCCAAAUCACCUUAUAUUCCUAUUACUAACUAGUUUUACUAAUAAAUACACCUCUGAAUCAGCAAUAAAAAUGUCAUGCUCUGAGUAGCCAAAAAGAAAGAGAGCAUAUUUGUGAUUCAGAGGAGUUCGGAAGGCGAGGCUUUGGUAGACUAUAAUGCUUAAUUGUCUUUUUCUGGGUAGUAGUUUAAAGAAAGUGUUUCUUUGUUCCAGGCAGUUGGACCUCCAGGGUGACCCGUAUACUCACUUUAUAAUGAUGAAAGGUUCCUGAAACACAUCUGGUUCUUGUGGAAAGCGGCAGAAAAUCCUUUGAAGUCUGAAAAACAUGCUGAAGGAUGGAGUUAGGGUGAGUGACAUCAUGACUGAGGAGUUACACCUAUGUUGGAGCUGAUGCCGGCAAAUUUAAGCAGUUCCCUUCUGCUCUCGUGUCGUUUUCGUUCUUUUUUCAGAUUUUAUUCUUACUUUAAUAAAUGUUAUUCCUUUUUGAUCGUGA